AGUGAAUAGAUACCCGGGUAGUCCUAGCCGUAAACGAUACUCGCUAGGUGUCGGCCACGGUGCGACCGUUGUCGGUGCCGUAGGGAAAGCCGUGAAGCGAGCCACCUGGGAAGUACGGCCGCAAGGCUGAAACUUAAAGGAAUUGGCGGGGGAGCACCACAACGGGUGGAGCUUGCGGUUUAAUUGGAUUCAACGCCGGAAAUCUUACCGGGACCGACAGCAACAUGGAGGCCAGGCUGAAGACUUUGCCGGAUUAGCUGAGAGGUGGUGCAUGGCCGUCGUCAGUUCGUACUGUGAAAGCAUCCUGUUAAGUCAGGCAACGAGCGAGACCCACGCCCACAGCUGCCAGCGUACUCUCCGGAGUGACGGGUACACUGUGGGGACCGCCGCUGCUAAAGCGGA
rnacentral:rRNA from 1 species